CCAAUAGCGUAUAUUAAAGUUGUUGCAGUUAAAAAGCUCGUAGUUGAAUUUCGGGAUCAAUAUUUCGGUCAUGCCGUUGGUAUGCACUGUUAUAAUUGAUUUCUCACCUUCUAAAGAACCGUUAUGCCAUUAAUUUGGUGUUACGGGGAAUUAGGACUGUUACCUUGAAAAAAUUAGAGUGUUUAAAGCAGGCUCACGCU
rnacentral:rRNA from 1 species